GUGGUGUGGUGGCCAGUUAGGCCACUGGAAGCUUGGCAAAAUAUUGAAAAUGAGGGAUUAGGUGACAGGGUAGUAACUGCUGGAUACUAAAUACUUGAUCCAGGCCCCAUUCCCUGGAGAUUGACAGGGAGACACAUUGUCCAGGUGGUAGUGGAGAAAUACUUUCUGGGUAUCUGACCAGCCUUUGUAGAAAGAACUGGCACCGUCCUGCAGAUGUAACUGCCUGAUGGGCUCUUCCUGCCCAAUGUACACACAAAAUCAAUUCAAGGAGACCAUGGCACUGCAGGAAACAGUUUCAUUGACACAGGCCAGCCACGACAUGUGGGAGACAGAGUUAUUACUCAAACCAAUCUCACUGAAGGCUUGGAGGGCCCGCCCGGCAGGACCACUGAGCAAGGCCUUGGAAAACCAGAGAGAUUAGAGCGGUGAGUCGCGCCGGUCACGUUGGACACCUGCGCGUUAGGAGAUUCUGGAGCCAGAAGAACAGCCGAAUUGCCUUCGCCCGCCCUGCCCCUCCCCUGCUUCAGAAGCUUCCAGAAACCCCCUGGUCGGCGACCCAGCCAGAGCCGCCUGGGGGCCCAAGGGAAGCUGAACGCCCUGUGGCCUCCGGGGAAGGUUCCUCCCGUUCUUUGUGCCGCCUUCACCCAUUGAAGGAGCCUGUGCCCACCCUGCCCAGUCGCUGUGGGGGCCGCUGAGGAGCUUCCGCUGCCACUUUCAGAAUGGGGAAAUGGAGAGAGAACCUGAAAGAGCCCCAAAUUCGGGGACCUAUUGCUCCCCAAGAAUAACAUCUUCCAGAAGAACCAGACAGAAAACUAGGCGUCUGGGAACACUGAAAUCCUUGCAGGAGUAGCAUCAUCAUGACCCUCUCUGUUCCUUUUGGCAAAGGACUUGCCUCCAUUGUUUGUUUGUUUGUUCAAUUGUCUUGUCUGUUAAAUAAAGAAAACCCUUUUCAUAUACCUUC